AUGAACGCUGGCGGCGUGCCUAAUACAUGCAAGUCGAACGAACGGACGAGAAGCUUGCUUCUCUGAUGUUAGCGGCGGACGGGUGAGUAACACGUGGAUAACCUACCUAUAAGACUGGGAUAACUUCGGGAAACCGGAGCUAAUACCGGAUAAUAUUUUGAACCGCAUGGUUCAAAAGUGAAAGACGGUCUUGCUGUCACUUAUAGGUGGAUCCGCGCUGCAUUAGCUAGUUGGUAAGGUAACGGCUUACCAAGGCAACGAUGCAUAGCCGACCUGAGAGGGUGAUCGGCCACACUGGAACUGAGACACGGUCCAGACUCCUACGGGAGGCAGCAGUAGGGAAUCUUCCGCAAUGGGCGAAAGCCUGACGGAGCAACGCCGCGUGAGUGAUGAAGGUCUUCGGAUCGUAAAACUCUGUUAUUAGGGAAGAACAUAUGUGUAAGUAACUGUGCACAUCUUGACGGUACCUAAUCAGAAAGCCACGGCUAACUACGUG
rnacentral:rRNA from 1 species